rnacentral:rRNA from 1 species
UACAGAGGUCUCAAGCGUUGUUCGGAUUCAUUGGGCGUAAAGGGUGCGUAGGCGGCGCGGUAAGUCGGGUGUGAAAUCUCGGAGCUUAACUCCGAAACUGCAUUCGAUACUGCCGUGCUUGAGGUCUGGAGAGGAGACUGGAAUUUACGGUGUAGCGGUGAAAUGCGUAGAUAUCGUAAGGAAGACCAGUGGCGAAGGCGGGUCUCUGGGCCGAUACUGACGCUGAGGAGCGAAAGCGUGGGGAGCGAACAGG